GACGAACGCUGGCGGCGUGCCUAAUACAUGCAAGUAGGACGCAGUUGCGAACGGGUGAGUAACGCGUAGGUAACUGCCUAUUAGAGAGGGAUAACUAUUGGAAACGAUAGCUAAUACCGCAUCCUAGUAGAUGGACCUUCGUUGUAUUGGGUCGUCGGUCGGGUAAUGGCCUACCUAGGAGACGAUACAUAGCCGAGUCGAGGGGGUGAGCGGCCAAACCGGGAAUGAGACACGGGCCCGACCUCUAAGGGAGGCAGCAUGAGGGAAUCUUCGGCCAUGGGGGGAACCCGGACCGAGCACCGUCGCGUGAGUGAAGAAGGUUUUCGGAGCGUAAAGCUCUGUUGUUAAGGAAGCGUUACUUAAACAGAAAGGGACGGCUAACUACGUGCCAGCAGCCGCGGUAAUAC
rnacentral:rRNA from 1 species